CCCAUCGAUCAUAGGCUCUCUGGACCCACCCGGUCUCAUUCCGAACCCGGAAGUGAAACGGAGAGCCGCCGCGGGGAGUACUGGGGUGCGAGAGCCCCUGGGAAACUCCGGUGUCGAUGGGG
rnacentral:rRNA from 1 species